AACUCAUAAUUUCUUGUGAUCAGAAUUUCCCAAGUAGGAAUCGAAUCGUCCGCUUCUUCUUCUUCUGCUCGAAAUUUUGAACGAAGAAGAUGACCCGAGGAAAGCAGAAGAUCGAAGCUCAGAAACGAAAUGCGGAGAAAAAUCAGAAGCCCAAAGGCUCACAGCUUGAGGCCAGAGCCGUUGCCCUCAAAGUCAUCUGCCCUAUUUGCAAGGUACAGCUUGCAAAUCAGAACCAGCUGGGUGAUCAUUAUGGCUCCAAACAUCCAAAGGAAAAGCCACCAUCAGAAUCUGGCUGAAUCUUCGCUUUCAAGUUGAAGUAUGUGUCUCGCUUUAUUGAAGGCAUUUAAAAGUUCUCCUCUAUUCAGAUCAAUGAAAAUUGCUCUGGUUGUCUUCAACUUUUCUGUUAAAAUGUACUACUUACUUGUAAGGGUAAAAAAUGUUGAGUCAUUCUGUCACCUGUAAAAUAAACUAGACUCUAAUAUGCCCCUUUUCCAGAUCCCCAAUCUAAUCUUCUCUGGCCUUGGAAAAUAUCAAAUCCUAAGAAAUGGCUUUUUGUU